AGAUCCUCCAAAAAGAAUGAAGAAAGAAUGGAAUUAGAUAAGCUUAGCAGUAGGAACCUUGAAGAUCCACCUAUCUCUGGUGCUUACAUCCGGAGCCUAGUGAAACAACUAAACACAUCAACAACAACAACAAAUGAAUCCAUGAACUCAAAAGGCCAAGAUUGUUUUGUUGCAAGAAAACAUGGAAAGGCACAUCAAUCCACACAACAACAACCACAACAGCAGCAUAAGAAACAAGUUAGGAGGAGACUUCACACUAGCAGGCCUUAUCAAGAGAGGCUUCUGAAUAUGGCUGAGGCUAGGAAGGAGAUUGUAACAGCCUUGAAAUUUCAUAGGGCUGCUAUGAAGCAAGCCAGGGAAAGACAGCAACAACAGCAGCAGCAGCAGCCGCCGCCACCGCAAGUGCAAGAACAGCAUCAGCAAAGUUUUGAACAAGAUGGAAGAUUCAAGGGUAGGAGAAACCCCAGAAUUUAUCCAUCAUGCAGAGCCAAUUUUCCAAAUAAAAUGGAGGAUUUUUCAUGUUCAUACUUAUCUCAACCUCUUCCUCCUCCAUCUACCUUGGCUCCAAACUCUUACACCUGGGCUAAUGCUCCUUCCUUAAUUACUCAACCGCCACAAACCCUUUUGGCUGAAAACCCCAAUUUUGUACUUCCUAGUCAGACUCUUGGAUUGAACCUCAAUUUCCAUGAUUUCAACAACUUAGAUGCUACCCUUCACCUUAACAACUCUUCAUUAUCCUCAUACUCAUCUCCAACCUCCUCUUCUCCUCCUCUUUCUGUUGUGACUGAUCAGGAAGCUCAUUCAGUUGGAAUGUCACAGGGCCAGGGAGAUGGAUCUUCUUCACUGGUGGAUACAAUUCAAUCCGGUGCCACGACUCGGACUAGUGGAAGUGGAGAUCUUCAUACAGCCAUGGAUGAUGAGGGCAUGGCAGAGAUCAGAUCCUUAGGUGAGCAAUAUCAAAUGGAAUGGAGUGAUACCAUGAACUUGGUCAAAUCAGCAUGUUGGUUCAAGUACUUGAGAAACAUAGAACAUGAGGUACCUGGAGUCAAGAUUGGAGAUGGUUCAUACCAUUUUUUUGAUGAAGUUGUUGAGUUUCCAGCUUGGUUGAAUGCAAAUGGGAGCUGUUUAGAGAAGUGCUCUGAUGAGUACUUCCAAGAUUCUGCCUUACCUUGGCCUGGUGGAACACUCACUUUUUGAAGCUUGCCCUGUGGAAAAUAUUUAGAUAAAACAUACGUUUUGACUUUGGUGUACAAAAUCAGAGCAUGGACAUUGGAGAUAUUGAAAGCAUGGAUGGAGAUUGGUUAGCAUGAGAAGGAUUCAUUGUUUUGGUCACAUCAAAAUUUUGCUCUGAUUUUGUAGUUUCUUUUGCUUUAGGUAAAUGGGGUUUUGGGUACUAUUAUUAUCAUUCCCCUCCUCCCCUCUUCUUUUUGGUUUUUUGGAUAUUUUUAUUAUUAUAUAUAUAAGGCUUGAAAAAAUUUAAAAGAGGAUGAUAGCAUCAAUAUUCAAUAGUAUGAGUGAGACAAUUUUUUUUCUCCCAUUACUCUUAUGUCAAUGUAUUUGUUGUAAUAAUGAUUAAUAUCAAUCAGUAGUGCUAAAUUCUCUUUGAAUCUUAAAGAUUGCGAGAAGCCACUAAGGGUUUGGAGCUAUAGAAGACUGGAACUCAGGCUGUUGUUAGUUAUGUGAUUUGAGUGUUUGACAAUGAACACAUGAAAAAUUCUGAUGAGGAAUCUCAAUUUAAAGCUUAAUUAUACAAAAAGCGUAAUUAUUGUCUGGAUUUUUACAAUUUCACCAUAUUUACAAUUUUAUUUUUUAAAGUUUAUACCUAAGUCU